UUGCCCAUAGUAACGAGUUGCUAGCGUAUUUUCACCAUCAAUCAGCUUUCUCUGCUUCUGUUUUUUCAGUUUCAGUUUCUUUCAAUUUCAGUUUCAAUUGAACAAUUUUAUAAACAUCAAAAUAUUUUGACCAUCAAUUUAUUAAUGACAGGAAAAGUUUACACCAUGGGAAAGAGAGUUCCUUUCAAUCAUGUCCCAAAAAUUCAUCAUAAAUGAUAACUAUGAUGAACAUGUGAAUGUCCAGUCUCAGAAUGCAAGUAUACUUACCUGUCGUUAUUAACGCUCAAUAUUACAGCUCUGUUUUUAUUUAAGGUUUCGCCAGCUUCAUCGCAGUCUUCGGAAGUUCUGGGCAGCUCUAUACUCGUUUCGCCCAGAAGGAAGUGUCCAAGGAAGCAAAAGAAGAAAAAGCUCAAGAGAAGGGUCGAGGAAAGGGUCGAGGAAAAGGUCGAGGAAAAGCCCGAAGUGAAGUUGCCAAUGAUGUGGAAAGUGAUUUUCAGAGCGAGGAGCAGUUGCAAGAAAUAGUAUGGCCAUCACCAAUCUCUGAUCACAAACUAAUGUUGUUUCCAACCCAUUCUGACGGCCACUGUGUUUUAGUCACGCUCGACAAUGGAAAAAAAACUUUAAACUACUACGACACAAUGAAAAAGUCAAAUCCAAAAAUUUUACAAAAUUACAAAAUCAUCAUAAGCAGAUGCUAUCCGGACGUAAAGUUCGAAUACCUAAAUCACCGCAACAUUCCACAACAACUUGACCCACAUAGCUGUGGCCCAUUCAUUUGUAAUACGCCGCCAUGAUUGUUUAUCAUUUUCUCACUGGUUUACCUGAAUAUGAUAUUCUGAAACAAAAAAGUUUUAACGCGGCAAAAGUUGAAAGAAGCAAUGUGAUUGAAACAAAGAGAAGCGCUCAAGCGAAAAAGUAUUCAGGCAACUGAUAUCAUCACUAAUUAUCAGCCCGAAGAAACGCUGGAAAACCCUGCAUAUUUAUCUCUCGUGAAACGAAAGAGAAAAGAAUACGAAGAAGAGAAACGCAAGCGGCAAAAGUUGGAAAAUUGGCCAUUAAAUCUCAAACAUGACUUUGAAAUAACUAGAAAGAAAGCAAUAAG